CUUUCCUCCAUUGAUAUAUGUCAAUGCACCACCACUUAAAUUCUUCAAUAUUCUUAUAUGUCUACAUAUUUUCACAUUGUACACCUACCUAACCACAAAGACCUUCAUCAACACCCUCCAAAACCACCAUAUCUCCACGGUAAACUGCCCAAAAAAAUUAGAUCUUUAGAUUUUCCCCGUCAAAUAAAAAUUCACCAUUAUAUUUCGAUUCCACCACCUGAAAAUUCACUAGUCCUGAAACGACUGUUACUCAAAAGAGAUUCAACACUACAAUGAUCAUAGAUCUAAAUCAUCU
rnacentral:lncRNA from 1 species